rnacentral:tRNA from 1 species
CAAACUACAACCUUCCACUUGACACUGUCUUGCAAAAAUUGAGACAACGACGGUUUCUCUUUCU